GACCGCUCCGGUGGCCUAGUGGUUAUAGCGUCCUCCUCGGAUGCGGGAGGUUGCGGUUUCGAACCCCGACCGAGUCA